rnacentral:rRNA from 1 species
UUAGGAAUCUUCCACAAUGGGCGAAAGCCUGAUGGAGCGACGCCGCGUGAGGGAUGAAGGCCUUAGGGUUGUAAACCUCUAAAAGAGGGACGAUAAUGACGGUACCUCUUGAAUAGCACCGGCUAACUCCGUGCCAGCAGCCGCGGUAAUACGGAGGGUGCAAGCGUUAUCCGGAAUCACUGGGCGUAAAGGGCGCGUAGGCGGUCUGUUAAGUCCGAUGUUAAAUCCCGGGGCUCAACCCCGGAUAAGCGUUGGAUACUGGCAGGCUAGACGGUUGGAGAGGCGAGUAGAAUUACCAGUGUAGCGGUGGAAUGCGUAGAUACUGGUAGGAACACCCAUUGCGAAGGCAGCUCGCUGGACAACACGUGACGCUGAGGCGCGAAAGUGUGGGGAGCAAACC